rnacentral:rRNA from 1 species
GACGAACGCUGGCGGCGUGCUUAACACAUGCAAGUCGAACGGAAAGGCCCUGCUUUUGUGGGGUGCUCGAGUGGCGAACGGGUGAGUAACACGUGAGUAACCUGCCCUUGACUUUGGGAUAACUUCAGGAAACUGGGGCUAAUACCGGAUAGGAGCUCCUGCUGCAUGGUGGGGGUUGGAAAGUUUCGGCGGUUGGGGAUGGACUCGCGGCUUAUCAGCUUGUUGGUGGGGUAGUGGCUUACCAAGGCUUUGACGGGUAGCCGGCCUGAGAGGGUGACCGGCCACAUUGGGACUGAGAUACGGCCCAGACUCCUACGGGGGGCAGCAGUGGGGAAUAUUGCACGAUGGGCGGAAGCCUGAUGCAGCAACGCCGCGGGCGGGAUGACGGCCGUCGGGUUGUAAACCGCUUUCGCCUGUGACGAAGCGUGAGUGACGGUAAUGGGUAAAGAAGCACCGGCUAACUACGCG